rnacentral:tRNA from 1 species
GUGGGUAUAGUUCAGUGGUUAGAAUACAUGCUUAGCAUGCACGAAGUCCUGGGUUCAAUCCCCAGCACCUCCA